GAAAAAUGGUGCAAUACACUGAUGGUCGGAUUGUAUUAUUGACUCUCCAGAAAGAACACAGUCUGUCACAGUUGAUGAAGAUGACGAUGAAGAGACCACAUCUGCUGUGACAGAAGUGGACAAUGCUGGUAGAUCCACUGAGUACAUACCUAGGGGUUUGCCCACAGAUGAGGGUCCUUCAACCUCAGCACACAAUCUAAGCAGGUUGCCAGCAAAGGAGCUGUAUAAGGUCCAUCUUCAAAAACAAAUAAGGAAAAG